UACAGAGGUGGCAAGCGUUGUUCGGAUUUAUUGGGCGUAAAGGGCGCGUAGGCGGCGGGGUAAGUCGGGUGUGAAAUCUCAGGGCUCAACCCUGAAACUGCACUUGAUACUGCUCUGCUUGAGGACUGGAGAGGAGACUGGAAUUCACGGUGUAGCAGUGAAAUGCGUAGAUAUCGUGAGGAAGACCAGUGGCGAAGGCGGGUCUCUGGACAGUUCCUGACGCUGAGGCGCGAAGGCCAGGGGAGCAAACGGG
rnacentral:rRNA from 1 species